ensembl:lncRNA MPPED2-AS1 MPPED2 antisense RNA 1
GAACUUGUCUCCAGCACUGCGGACACCCGGGUGACACAUUCUUUCGGAGAGGGAGGGCAAGACUUUUCUCCGGAGCCUCUGGCAACUCGUGGAGUCUAUAUAAGAUCUUCAAAGAAAGAGAUAUCCUUUCGAGGCAACACAAGAAGCCAACUACAAAUGAGAAUAUUAUUCUCUUGGUGCAGGGAUUGUUGCAUGUGGACCCCAUCAGCCUUGAAAAGUCCAUGCAAUGGAGUGAAACUUGACAAAGCAGUUGCAGUCGUUCACCAGUGAAGCAAAGUCUUCUUCCUAGUCACGCAGGAAUUUUUUUGGGGGAGAUAACUUGAUGCCUGGAGCUGCUGCUGCAUCUUAUGUAAAUGACAACUAAGGAUAAAAACCACACACAUUACCCAAGGUGCAGUAAAAGAAGAUAUUUUGGGAGGAAGAGAGAAAGCAAGAGAGAGAAACCACAUUUUCAUAACUUUUGUUACAGUAUAUUGUUAUAAUUGGUCUAUUUUUAUUAUUAUUGUUGUUCAUAUUUUACUUUAAUUUAUAAAUUAAACUUCAUUAUAGGUAUGUACAGGAAAAAAUAUGGUAUUAUAUAUGAUUUGGUACUAUCCUUGGUUUCAGGCAUCCACUGAGGGUCUUGGAACAUAUCACCUUGGAUAGGGGAGACUACUGACUUCCUUACUGCUCUAUGUGACAAAUGAAGUUUGGUCUUAUUUGCAGCCAGGAAAAUUUUAUUAUCAAGACUUUAAUAUUAAUACAGAAAUAGGAACUUCCAGGGAUAGACAAAAAUGAAGAGAGCAUCUGUUCCAGCUUCUUUAUUUUAAAGAUUUGAGGCUCAGAGAGGAGAUAUACUUCUUCAAAAUCAACAGCCUAUUAGUUCACAACUGCGAUUACAAUUUCGUCUCCUGGCUCUGGGUUUAAUAAUAUUCCCCCACAUCAUAAAACCUUGGAACUAUCGAAAUGAUAGCUUUGAGGGGAAAAAUAGGCAAAGAAGUAAUAUGUUAAACUUUCCCUGGGAUGCAGGCUUUAAUCAGGUUUCAAAUUCUUCCAACAUAAUAUAAUUUAAUGGUGAGAGCUCUUGACAUUAAGAGGUGAAAUUUAUAUUUAAAAGGCUAAGAUCGUGACAUAUUAAAGCACUUCAAAAAUGUUGGCAACAAAUACCAAGAGUAACUGAUGGUUGUUAUUAUACAAGAACAAAGAAGUUCAUCCUCUGGAAUUAAAGGUGUGUUAGUGUCAUUGUUGCUCAUGGGGAGGAGUAGGCACCUGACUUUCUUUUUUUCCUUACGACAGCUUUAUCCAAAUAAAGCACGGUGUGUUUCAUCACCCAUAAUGGAAAGUGCCUGUCACUCCUUGAACAACAUCAUAUGGUUGGUGGCCGGUGGAUAAUGGACCACUGAGUGUCAAGGUGACUGGCUUUCAAUGCACACAAAACUAAAAAUUAUAGACCUGUCAUUCCACAGGCAGGCCACAAUUAGCUGUCUAUGCAACUUGAAAUUUCCAUUUUGCCAGCUGAGUAAUCAUUUGACUAGAGUUUUUCAUUUGGAAGCAUUUCUAAGCCUUUUGUGUGCAAGUCUUUUAAAAUGUGGAUCCUGAAGUAAAUAAACAGUGCACUUAAUCAGAUGUAUUCUUUUUAGAAACACCCCUUCGGAAACACACAGGCAAACCCCAACAUUGUUGUAAUAGUAACAACAAUAAUGUGACAAAACAAUAUAAGCCUUGGGUAUUUUAUUUAGGGAUCUUAAAAGUUCACAGCGAAAGGUAAGAAUCAUUUCUUAAUACCUCAGAGUGCAGAAUUUAGAAAAAGAAACUGAGAUUUUAGCAGUCAGUAACUAGAUAAGGUCACCAAAGGAGAAGUAAACUCAGAGCUAGGGGUCAAAACUUGGGAAUUUCAGUGUCAGAAACAUUCACUGAUUCAAAACUAUCCAUUUACCAGUUUUCUAUUUACAUUUGGUUUCCAACUCCAUAUCUGAGUUCUGUCAUUUCUCUGAUUCUUUGAGGGAUAGAGAAAAUGAUACCAAGUGGAGUCUGUUGGAAAAUUGUGUUGUAAUUUCCAUUCAGUUGCUGUACGUGAAGUAAACUUCAGGAUUCUACAAUCCCAGAUCAGAUUCUAGACUGUCUAAUUGAACCUGAAUCUUCUUUUACCCUCUUCCUGCCCUGUCCCUGGUCCACAUUACUCUCUCUCCUUCUCCCUCGGAUGAUUUAUAUCUACACUUAAAUUGCCGAGCCACAAGGAUACAAGUGAAGUUGACAAUCAAUAUGAAUUAAGGAAAAAAUCAGAAGUCUGAGAUCAGAAGUGUUUGAGUGAAAUUCUCCCUACAAGUCUUGGCAACCUCAUGAUUUUGUUUAAUUUUCCAACAUGUUUUGGAUUAUUGGAAAGAGUUACAUGGGAUAAAAAGGAUUUGCCUGGCAGAGUAAAAGAACUGAAUUUGGAUUGUACUGAAGUAGGUCCUAACUAGGCUGUUGAUGGUGAAAUAUUGACGAUUCUAUUGUUUUGAAUGAAUGAGUGUCAUAUUUUACUGGGAAUUGAUUUCUGAACUUCAGUCAAGGAGUGACUGAAUUUGCAAUUAGAGUCACUCUGUUUUGUAACUCAGAUUAUGCAAGGAUCAUUCUGAAACAGCAACCAAGAUAUAA